rnacentral:rRNA from 1 species
CCUACGGGGCGCUGCAGUGAGGAAUAUUGGUCAAUGGACGAGAGUCUGAACCAGCCAAGUAGCGUGAAGGAUGACUGCCCUAUGGGUUGUAAACUUCUUUUAUAUGGGAAUAAAAUGUUCCACGUGUGGGAUUUUGUAUGUACCAUAUGAAUAAGGAUCGGCUAACUCCGUGCCAGCAGCCGCGGUAAUACGGAGGCUCCGAGCGUUAUCCGGAUUUAUUGGGUUUAAAGGGAGCGUAGGUGGAUUGUUAAGUCAGUUGUGAAAGUUUGCGGCUCAACCGUAAAAUUGCAGUUGAAACUGGCAGUCUUGAGUACAGUAGAGGUGGGCGGAAUUCGUGGUGUAGCGGUGAAAUGCUUAGAUAUCACGAAGAACUCCGAUUGCGAAGGCAGUUCACUGGACUGCAACUGACACUGAGGCUCGAAAGUGUGGGUAUCAAACAGGAUUAGAUACCCGGGUAGUC